rnacentral:rRNA from 1 species
GAUGAACGCUAGCGGCAGGCUUAACACAUGCAAGUCGAGGGGCAACACGGGUAGCAAUACCUGGUGGCGACCGGCGCAAGGGUGCGUAACGCGUGAGCAACAUACCCUAUACAGGGGGAUAAUCCAGGGAAACUUGGUCUAAUAUCCCAUAGGAUUUACAGAUGUCAUCAUCUAUAAAUUAAAGCUUCGGUGGUAUAGGAUUGGCUCGCGUGACAUUAGCUAGAUGGUGGGGUAACGGCCUACCAUGGCCAUGAUGUCUAGGGGUUCUGAGAGGAAGACCCCCCACACUGGGACUGAGACACGGCCCAGACUCCUACGGGAGGCAGCAGCGAGGAAUAUUGGACAAUGGAUGGAAAUCUGAUCCAGCCAUGCCGCGUGCAGGAUGACGGCCCUACGGGUUGUAAACUGCUUUUCCCCGGGGCGAAUAACCCCCUCGCGAGGGGGAUGGCCGGUACCGGGGAAUAAGGAUCGGCUAACUCCGUGCCAGCAGCCGCGUAAG